GGGAGAGGGGGAGAGAGAGAGACAGAGACACACAGAGAGAGAGAGACAGAGAAAGAGAGACUAACAUCUGAUUUGCUAGUUCAUUUGCCAAAUGCCUAGGGCUGGGCCAGGGCUGGAGCCAGGAGCCAGAAACUCAAUCCAGGUCUCCCCCGUGGGUGGCAGGGACCCCAACCCUUGAGCCAUCACCACAGUCUCUCCGGUUUGCCUUGGCAGGAGGCCGUAGUCAGGAGCUGGAACUGGGAAUCAACUCCCGGCAAUCUGAUGCGGGACAGAGGCAAACCACCCACUCCCGGGAUCUUCUUUUUAACUAUAAUUUCUUCGCAUGUGGUUUAUCUUAAUGGGAAACAGGACUUGUCAUGUGUUACUUUUGUCUCUCCAGGGAGAUAGCAAUACAGCAUGAAGAGUUUUGAGGCUGAAAAGUUGUGCCUUCGUGGAAGCCAAAGCCCUGGAGAAAGGCUCAGAGCUGGUGCCAGCGACCGAGGAAGGAGGGUCCCGGCUCCCACAAGCUGCGUGUGUGCUGUCCCUCGCUUCGCAGCGCUCGGGCCAGUCUGGACUUCCAGAGGGAGGACAGCAAGCGGAAGGAAGAAGCUUCGAAUCUCAUCUCACUGGGAGCAGAGCUGGAAAUCAGUCACCGGAGAUACCCCUGGAGAGAAAGCACAGGAGGCUUAGAAGAAGCCCCGGGUCGUGCUUCCUCUGGCCUUUCACCACGUGACUGGUACUCUUAUGUGUGCUCUGCCGAAGGGAUUUCAUCAACGCUCCCCCCCGGGGGCUGGAGCCGCCCUGCGCUGGGAGCAGAUGCUGGGAAGACGCGCUGCAUGCCGUGCCACUCUUCCCUCUCACGCACUCCUUGGAGGGCUGGAAGUCAUGAGAAGUCUGGCUGAGAGCCUGGGCGCUACAGCGACCUUCCAAGCAUCCUUAGGAAGGCUGACCCUAGCCCAGGUUUCAAGAAGAAGGUGGGGAUCACAGUAGAAUGUGGGCAGCAGGCAGCAGGUACAGCUCUGCACUCGAUAUGUCAGGACGCUCCUCGCUCAGAGCCGCCCAGAGGUCCUCACUACCAAGGAACCAACCAAGAGGCAGAGAGAAAUACCGUCACUAAAUCUGUGUUGGUUGGCAACCUUACUGCUAGUGCUAUAGGAAGACUUUGGCUGGAAAGUGAGCUUUUGAAGAGUGGCAGCUGUGUGGGAGAAGCUGCUGAGGUACAGCAAAAUGAAGACAGUAUGUCUCCUUUAAAUCUUCCGAGUUUGGGAAUGAGGCAGCAGAGAAGUUGCCUCUCCAGAUCAGGAGCAAUGAGAGGUUCCAGCCUGGACUCUCAAGCUUCUCCCCAGGGCUUGGGCCCUGUUAUUUGCCAGAGAAACAAAGAGUCUUGGAGUCUCCUGUUUAGGAGCAGGUUGUCUAGAGAGGGAGCUCUGGAAAUCUGAGUUGUGUAACAUGCACUGUGGCGAUCUUUCUCCAUGCUUCCUACCAUGCUGGUGGUUGACCGCCCGUUGUCACCAGGGGCUAGGGUAGCACAGAGGCUUCCUCCUUAUUCCUGAAACACCUCAUAAUCCAAUCUCUUGAUGGAUUAUCGUUCUAAAUGACCUCUCAAGAAAAGCCACUGCUAAUGACCCAUUUGUGCCUUUUCUUCAGCAUGAAUUCUUCACAUAAUAUUUUAUAUUCUCCAUAAUGGGCACUGGGCCUUGUCUUUCUUCACGGGAGUAUUCCACCUGUAUAUAUAUUUUUUCACAUGCUAAUCCAUCCAUCAUCCUCCCUCCCUCCCUUCCUUUUUUGAAACGUAGAGUGACAGACAGAGGAGGAGACACAGAGAGAACUUCCAUCUGCUGUUUCACUUCCCAAAUGGCCAUAAUGGCCAGAGCUGGGUCAGGUCAAAGCCAGGACCUGGAACUCCUUCUAGGUCUCCCACUUGGGUUGCAGGGUCCCAAGCAUUUAAGCCAUCUUCCCAGGCAUAUGAGUAGGGAGCUGAAUUGGAAGUGGAGCAGAUAGGAAUUGAACUGGUGCUCAUAUAGGACGCAGUAUCAUAGUCGAUGGGUUAACCCACUGCACCAUAAUGCCGGCCACUCACAUGCUAAUUCUAUUGUGCCUUCUCUAUAUGCAUACCCUCUCCUGUUUCCCGAUUCAUGGAAACUCUCAUGAAUGUCCUAUGGUCUUGGAACACAAAACUUUCCUUUAACAAAGGCAGAACUCAUAUGUUAAAGAUCAUUAUUUGGAAAAAAGAUUUCUUUUUCUAAGAAAUAACUUUUUUUCUUUAAAUCUCCCAUCUGUCUCUCUCUUUCUCAUCUGUCUCAAAGCCAUGGUGUUCUGAUAUAUUUCUGAGUAGCAUCUCCACAUGCUAAAAACGAAGUGCCCACAACUUGGCUACAAAUGGAAUCCAGCAGGGUAGGCUAGGGCUCCAGGGAAACACACCUGUAU